UAUAGCUGUGCUAUAGCAUUACUGACGUC
rnacentral:sRNA from 1 species